GAGACAACUAAUCAAAAAUAUUCUGCCACUGAACGAAUUACACUUCUAUAUCUGGAGUUCUUAUGUGAGAAAGAGAAAGCCUAACUUAUUUAAGGUUCAACAGAGUUCAGCAAGUUCUUGUGUUCACUCUAACACAAUAUACACUGUGAAACUGCUUUAUUUCAAAUUAGAUGUGACAGAAUAAUAGGAGUAGAAAUGACUCAACUGGCCUUUGUGACAUGGUUGGUUACUGGAAAAG